GACAUGUUGAUCUCCCGAGGUCGGGCAUGUCCCCGGAAAGUGUGUCCUGCCGGAGUUGAUCGAGCGUGUUGGGAAAUGUGGUGCACCCCUUCACGGAUGAAUUGAACUAUUCCAAUAGUCGUGUCCACGGUAACAGGACGACUUGUAGUUGUAUCCCGAUCUAAUACAACUAGAAUUGUGACUUAACUUGAAUGUUGGCUGUGAGAUUGCUUUCUCACACGGAGUCGAGAAAGGAUCUCUCGGCGUACUUAAUAAAUUUGCUGCAACAAUAUGACUACAUGUGUCUUACUCAUCUGUACUCUUCUAAUGCUGCAAGGCAGUGAAUAUGCUAGUCUUGAAUAGGACAAGGCCUUCUCUCUAUUCUCGCAUUGUUGCAGUCAGUCCAAAGUUAAGCCCCUUCCUUUGAUACUUAUGCAUACUUAUCAUAGUGCUGAUGUCAGUCUUGCGAGUACUUUGGAUGAGUACUCAUCGUUGCUUUGCUCCCUCUUUUCCUCUUGAUGCGAUUCUCAUGCCCAGAAGACAGAACCCAGGAGAUGGCUCGCCCUGUCGACGAAUACUAUCCCAAUGGAGCCUACUAUUAUGUGGAGGCCGCUGAUGACCCGGAGUAGUUAGGAGGCUCCGAGGUAGGAGACCUUGCGUUUUUGUUCUAUUGCUUGUGUUUGUUCUAGCCUUCUUAAGGCAAAACAUGUUUACUUAUGUCUGUUCUCACAUAUUGUUUGCUUCCGCUAACUCGUGUGUAUUAGAGCUUAUAUAUUCGAGCCCUCGAGGCCCUUGGCUUGUAAUAUCAAGUUUGUAUGACUUUAAAUUGUGUCUAGAGUUGUGUUGUGAUCUCUUCCCGUGAGUGCCUAAUCUUGGUCGUACGCAUUUGCUUGUAUGAAUGGCGUACGAUCAAAAUGAGGGUGUCACAAAUUGGUAUCAGAGCCGACUGCCUGUAGGUAGCCCCCUUUGCAACUCCUUGGCCGAAGUUGAGACUAGUACUUGAAAACUUUUACUAACAUUGUUGUGUGGCUUACGGGGCCACAUCUCAAUCGGGUGGUAUUAGGAUCUUUUGCUCCUCCUAUAUAAUGUGGGUUCUUAUCUCUCUUUUAUUUCAGGUUAAAGACUUUGCUAACUCUAACUCUAGGUUAUCAUAAUUACUUCCUCCGAGAAAGCCACUCCUUCCAAAUGAUGGCUUGAUUCAUCAGAAGAGUUCAAAGGUACGCCCUGAUGUUCUCUCGAGAACUUGUGCUCAUCGCUUUUACGUUUCCCUUCCUCCAUCAACCCCUAUGGAUGUUUAGAUACAAUUGUCACCCAUAUUUCAUUACGAGUUACUCUUGUUUUUAAAAGCUAAAACGGAUUAUCUUACCGGGGAUUUGUUCGUCCUCAGUUGUCAUGUGUUUUGCAAAAUUCGUUGAAAUGAUAUUUGAUCUUCUGAAAUCCUCGGUUGCCUAUUGCUCUUGACCUUUCUCACCUGCUUGCAUUAUGGUUAGUUCCAUAUGUCUAGCAACAUUCUUUAAAAUCUUUGUGAUCGUCCUUUGAUCUUAUAGAUUCAACCCGUGUCUGAAUGCUCACAAUCAUCAGUUGGUCCUCAUAAAUUAUCUGUUCGUGUCAUACGUCUUUCCUAGCAGGAGUUGGUUCGCGGCAAAUCGACCUUGAUUGAUUGUCCAUCUAAGUCAAUUUCAACUUACUUGUAUUUGAUCGGAGCAUCUGAUUCUGAUACACCAACUUGGAAAUUAUAAUUCCUUUGGUAUUUAAGUAUCGAUGUAACUCACAUGAUCUCUAAUCCAGUGCCUUGCAUUUCUUCUUCCUCUGAUUGGGUACCGAUACUCAAAUGAGGUACUUUGUGGAGAGUCAGACCCAUUGUUGGGUUAUUAUCCGAUGGCAUCCUUCAAAUUCAAAAUUCUUGUGAUAUUGUUCCCCUACUACAUGAUGCCAUUGGUAAAUUAUGUCUUCUCCCACUGAUAAGUUGUGUCCUAUGCUUUUGUCAGCCAUGAUCUUCAAGCAUGUGUUAAUUUGUAGCGACCCGACUCAAAAUGAGUCAAGCCUGUGUGUAUCUGUGCCAUCCCUGGAUCAGUAUGCUGGCACACACAGUACAUCAAUGUAUAUAUCAAAGUGCAAUCACAUGUAAAUAACGUAAAACUGAUAUAUACCUCAAAAUCUAAGCGGAAAGAGUCAAAGGGAGUGGAGUCCCAAUAAACACCAACGGCAGGUUGAGUGCAGACCGUAACCUUGAAUCGUACUCUUACUCUUCGAAGAAAGUAUCUGCAACAUAAGAUGUUGCAGCCGUGUAGGUCAGCAUAUUGAAUAUGCCGACAAGUCACAAAAGAGAGGUUGUGAAAAAUAUCAUCUAUACUAUAUGCAUAUAUGGCAAGUGGGGUUGUAGUUUAAGUUUUGCGUAAAGCAACUUUUUCCUACAAUAAGAGAGAGGGUAAAAGCAAAAAUUUCUACAUUGUUGGUUCUUAAUGAGAUGGUUCCACCAACCAUAUCUCAUACAAUCAUUCUAACAAUCAAUAUCACGACAACAAAUAUUCGUCACUCUCCGAUGAAAUCUAUAUAAUUAAACAUAGUAUUCACAUAAGCAAUUAUACCAGCAAUCAUUCUAACAAUCAACAUCACGACAACAAAUAAAAAUUAUCCAAUAAAUCAAAUCAAACGAGAAUCCAAAAAAAACUUCAAAGAAAACUUUGGAGCCUUCUACUAAAACAAUCACUAAGUUGUUUUUGUUCUAAUGAAACUUAACAAAAAAUAAAACACUAAAAUAGUAAAAUAACAGAAAAGAAAAUAUAAAAUAACUAAGAUAACAUAAGUAAAAUUUACAAAACAAUAUUAUUUUGAAUCUAUUUUCAAAUAAGAAUUCAAACUAGCAAUGAAAUCAAUUCGCAAGUUAGUAUAGAACUGGAAUUGAUUCCAUGCAAACAAAUAAGAAAAAAUAAANAAAAACAAAUUAAGAACAAUUAAUAGAAAAGAUAUAGCAAGAAAACUAAAAAGGCUAAAACAGAAUCUGUUUUGCUUAAAACCCUAGUUUAAAAUAUUCUAAAAAUUCUGAAAUUAUACCUACUGAUAAAUAAGAACACUAGUGGUCAGUAGAAAAAAGAACCAACUCAAAAGCUAUUUUUAAACUCCUGAUAUUCACAAAACAAUGUUUAAAUCAAAUCUAUUUAAAUUCAAAAUUUAAAAAUUGAAAAAUAUUUUUUUUUGGGUCCACGGGAUAGAUGGGAUUUUGAUGAAUCGGUAUAAAAAAGAAUCACUGGAUUUGGAGUUGUAGACUAAUAGAUAUGAAUUUUAUAAGUUUGCUCUUUUUGUGAAAAACAAAUUGUUACGGGAUUUUUGAAGCUCACCAGAGAUAGUCGCCGAACAUGGAGAAGACGACAGGGAGGUGGCUCCGGUGGCCGGCCGAGGCAACGGAGGGGUCCAGGUGGAGGAGGAGGGCUCCGGCUAAAGGUUGGUGGUGCCGGCGGGGUGUGGGGGCGACGGGAGGAGGCAACACCAGGAGCUUUUCGAGCUUCGGCUGGGGCGGUCUCCGGCGAGGUGGCGGGGAAGUUGCGGCAAGGGAUUCGGGCGGCUCUCGUGGGGAACGGAGCGAGCAGGAGGAGAGGAGUUCUUAUAGGGGCUCGGGAGGGGCUGAGAUGGGAGGGGCAGGGAGAUACCCUCGGAUCCGGUGAGGUCACUCGUGGCGUACGGGUGCACGGUAGAAGGAAGGAGGAGAUCGUGAGGAAGAAUAAGAAGAUACAGGCCACAUUCGGUACGGGCCCAUGGCAGUUUUCCUAUUAAAAUUAAAUUUCCUUUUAUUUGAAAAUCGGAAAGAAACCCUUCGAUAGGAAAUAAAUAAUAGUCCGAAAAUAUAAGUAUAAUAUAUCAACAUGAUCAAAAAACAAUUUCCCAUAACGUGAACAUUUUCUUUUGCCCAAAAUAAAAACUUAAAAAAACAUCUUUUUUAAAUCCAAUAAAAACCAAACUUUGUCUUUUAAAAAUGUUGGCACUAUUUUUCUUCUGACUUUUUGGGGUGUCAUGCUACCUCUCUUUCUUGCUUGGCGAGAUAAUUGUCACGCAUUUUGUGAGUGAAAAAUCUUGUCCCAAAAAUAAAUGCAAAUCAUAUACCGAAAGAAAAUUCAAAUACCACCAUCAUUCAAAUUCUUUAUAGUAGAAGAAGUCACGUUGUCUUCUCUCACUGAUUUUAAGUGGAUGAAUUUGAAUUCAUAGGAAAAGGGGAAAGUCAUUUUAUUCCCUCUCAAUCAAAAGUUUUUUUUUAAGUUUCAAAUUUUCACUCAAAUUAAAUCACUCAAUCUAUCAAACCAUGAAUCAACUAUUUAUUAUAACAUUCCAAAAUUUUGGGAUGUUACAAACCUACCGCACUUAAAAUAAAUCUUGUCCUCGAGAUUCGAAGAGGCUAGAAAGAAAAGGUUAGGGUUUGGGGGUCUUCUAACAAAUCCAAUUUCCUGCAAGGUGGGGUGCUACCACACUUAAAAUGAGAGUUAUCGGUCCCUCAAAAUCCGAUGUCUUUACGUUGAUAUAAGCUUCUUCCGUUACUUGGUCUUCUUAACUCACAAGUCUCUUAACCAUUCUAAAUAACCUACCGAUGAUUCUCAUUGUGGUCUACCAUUUGUGGUUAUCCUGUAGUGAGAAGGGUCCUGGCUUCAUCGUCACCGUAAAAUUUCCUAUGUGUGACAACAAAUGCCAUGUACAUGGGCUUUCAUCAUACCAUUUCUAAGGCUCAAACAAAAGCUUCAAAGCGUGUCGUCUCUCAAUAUGGGUAAGUCUUUCAGAUUUACCAUUUCGAAUAGCAAGAGAAUGAUAAGAGUAAUUCAUCAUGGUGGCCAAGCCAUGUCGCACUGAAAUCAUUACCUUGUAUAAGGUUUAGUAAAUCUCGUACUCUAACACUUGGGCGUGCUCACAAGCAUUGCAUAAUUUCUCUUGUACACGAACAAAGUUUGGAUAAAUCCAAUGAUUCUGCAAGCUAAACAAACAUCUAUCAUUUCUUCAUAACUCUCGGGUUUUUCGUAUGCUCUUAAUAAAAUGUUUGCUGAUCCAUCAUAGCUUAUUCCUUCAUGCUCUUGGCGCAACCUACAUGAAAGUCUUGGGCUGCAACCUUGGUACCGAUUGAAUUCCUUGAACUCAUUUUUCCUUGCCAUUGGUUUGUUUACCAAUAAAAGUGUUUAUUCCUCAUAUUAAAUCUCUCCUCAAAUUUCAAUUCCAAGGUACAUGAUUCAUCUGUUGUCACCCCCAUAGUUUGAUAUGAUCCAGCAUUUCCUUCAAUUGUAUUCAGUGGGUUUGACUCCUUGGUAUGCAUGGUACACUCUUAUUUAUUGGGUCCUGUGGGUUUACCGAUUACUACCACACUUAAAAUCAAAUAUACUCAUGCCUGUAUAGACCAUAUUUUCUCAUAUCCUCGAAAAUGGUAAGAGAUCUUUGUUCAUAGAGAAACAACUCAUAAAAUUUCAACGUAGGAAAACAUGACACAACAAAUUCCCAUUGAUUCAUGAGGCUAUUACAACCUCAGAGACUUCUGUUACAAAAUUUAACUCCAUAAUCUCAUGAAGACAAAAGGGCUUCAUGUUACACUUAUUGCCAUUGUCAAAACUUAACUACUCCAUUUCAACUUUCUUCCCUUGUGGACAAUUACUAGCAUAAUGUCCUGCUUCCUUGCAAUGAAAACAAAUGAGUUCUGACAAGUCUUGGGGCUUCUUGGUGUUUGCUUUUGCUCCUUGGGUUUCCUGCUUCCUUCUUAGGCACAUAUUGAUGUAGUGGCCUAAUUCCUUACACUUGAAACAUGUGAUAUGACUCAGGUAUUUAUGUGCAGGGAUUUGACUCUGGCUGGUGUAUUUUCUCUUCUUUCCAGACUCCUUCAUUCUGGCCAGUUCUUUUAUUUCAAGUGGAUCAAACUCUACUUUUUCUAUUGGUAAGUCUCCCAGGUAUUUAUGGCUUUCCUUCGUGCAAUCCUCUGAAAAAUGUCCUUCUCCUCCACAUGAGUAACAGGCAUUGGAGAAAAAUCUGGUUAGGCCUUGUCCAUCAGGGUCUUCAAUAUUUUCCUUCAUCACAUGUUCUUCUAAAGUCUUCUUCUUGAGUGUUUCCUUCAUGGCUUCUUUCUGCUGCUUGACAACUUGUUGCACCUUGGGGUAAAUGUGACACUGAGCUGGGUAGUGGGUGGUUCCUUCACACAAGAAACAAGUCACUUGACUAGUUGGGCAUUCCACCGUUGGGUGAUUUUCUUCACAAUGAGGGCAUCCAUCCUGGUGUUCUUCCUGGGUGUGUCCUAUUUCUCCAUAGAUCUUGCAUGCACGAGGCUUCUUCACCGGGUUAUCAUAGCACUUUUGUAUCAGACGGGAUUUUAACAGAGUCUUCUUGAAUUCGUCCCAGGUUUUUACUCCACUAAAUCCUUGUAUGGCAUGAUGCAUUUUCCACCAGAUAGAAGCACCUUAGGUAAAGUACCAAAGAGUGUGUGCCACUUCAUACUUCCUUGAAAUCAAAUUGCUCCCGAAGUGGUUUUCCAUGUUCUGAAUCCACAUUUCAACUUCCAGCUGGGUCAUUGGUCCAGAGAUUAAGCUUCGUACGCCAUCUAUUGGUUCCAAGGUUUUUGGGAAGAGAUGGGUAAGAGAGAGAGAGAGGGAAAAGAUAUAAACAAAAGACACAAAAGCAUAUAAUAUCAAAUCCACACAUUCAUAAAGUUAAAUCAAUAAUAUAGUAUCGCCACCCACAUAAGGUUGGUAUGGUCGGUCACACGAUAUGCAAUAACGUUCAUCUUUAUUUCUCUCGGUGGGGCUACUACUACUAAGCUAGCUCAUAUCACGUCUUCAUCAUCAAUGGGCUUCUUCUGGUCAGGCUUGAUCUUCUCAAGUUCUUCUGCCAGAUAUUCCCUAUUGACGCGGAGUUUCCGAUGUCGUCCUUGUAGUUCCAGGAGUUGGUUCUUGAGCUUCUGGAUUUCAACAUCACCAGCAUGUGCCAUGGCUUGACUAUUCUUCAAGUCUUGACAAAGCUUCUCAAUCUCGGGAUCGUGUUUCUUCACAUUGGCUACCUUCAGUUUCUCGGUCUUGAGACUCCCACGGAGUGCUUCAUUCUCAAACAAUUCCGAGAGAAGGUCCAGUUGAAGGUUCUUGACAUAAUGUUGGAGUUCUUGAUUAUACACCAAUACAGGUGAAAACUUCACCUUCUUCUCGUCUGUCAGGAUGAUGUGUGCUCCCUCAGGCUUCUGCCAUCCAAGCCUUCCAAAGUAGUGAGUACCCAACUCAACACGAUGACGAUAGCUCAAACGUGUGAUAGCAUCAUGAACAUGAGUGUUCAUGCCCAUAUCACAGUCAUGGGUCAAUGUGCCAUAGUUGAUGUCUUCAGUCUUGGUGUCUUCUUUAUGUCCAAAAUUUUUAGUUCUGACACCCCAAAAUCCAUAUUUCCUCUUGGUCACCUUGAUCUCAGGUAUCGACAGCUUCAUCAUAUGUACCAGUUCCAUGAGAAAUGGGCCUCCGAGAACAUCUUCAUAGUGCUCUCUUUCAUACACAGUGUAGCUCUCCAUCUAUAGUUUUGAAAUAGGGAAUUUUCAGUAAAGAAUUCAAGAGGCAGGAGAGUAGUGAAAACAAAAGUUGUUCCUAUCAAGGUCUUCCUAUUUCUAAGCCAUUUCCUAGGGUUACGUCCUACAGUCAACAUGUUCUCUGAUACCAUAUCUGUAGCGACCCGACUCAAAACGAGUCAAGCCUCUGUGUAUCUGUGCCAUCCCUAGAUCAGUAUGCUGGCACACAGAGUACAUCAAUGUAUAUAUCAAAGUGCAAUCACAUGUAAAUAACGUAAAAUUGAUAUAUACCUCAAAAAUCUCAGUGGAAACAGUCAAAGAGAGUGGAGUUCCAAUAAACACCAACGACAUGUUGAGUGUAGACCGUAACCCUGAAUCGUACUCUUACUCAUCGAAGAAAGUAUCUGCAACAUAAGACGUUGCAGUCGUGUAGGUCAGCAUAUUGAAUAUGCCAGCAAGUCACAAAAGAGAGGGUGUGAAAAAUAUGGCAAGUGGGGUUGUAGUUUAAGUUUUGCGUAAAGCAAAUUUUUCCUACAAUAAUGGAGAGGGUAAAAGCAAAAUUUUCUCCAUUGUUGGUUGUUAAUGAGAUGGUUCCACCAACCAUAUCUCAUACCCAAGUUAUCAAUAAUACCCACAUCAUCAAUAUUGUUUGUGUUGAGAAUUCCGGAUAGUUUCAUUUCCUUUGGCUCAAAUUGUCCAUGACCGUGGACAUGGCUAAUCGAUUAGGUUUGAGUACUCUGCAGAGUUAUGCACACGUUCCCCACAAGAUUUAAUCGCCUCCGUUGGAGUCCUCGCACUUCAGGGUGUUUGAGAACUAGAUGAUCAAAACAUGGUCUUCCAAAGGGUUCCUGUGAGCCACUCUCGGUGCCCAUCCAAUCCUACCGUUCUUCUACAUCUCGUAGCACCGCCCGUCCAGAGUCACCACGAUGUCCAACCAAGCCAGAGCCCAUAAUGACUUGUGGUCGUGCAGGUAAGCAUCGGGUCUUUAAUUAUCCAUCCAUCUCUUCGUGCCUGGGUGAAGCUUUCCGCAAGAUGUCAUGGCACUUCCCCAGGCAUCCCGGGUCAUCUACUGGUUUCCCUGGGAGAACAUCAAAACCGUCCUUCACCCAGAGGUAUAUUGGAUCAUGAGGUCUUGAAAGUCUUGAAGUCUUCAGGUCUUGAUUAUUAAGUUCUCACAACACUCAUGGUAAACACUCAACCAAACCCCAUCUACUAGGAGCAUAGCAAAUUAAUGUCACGACAAAUUAAUGGUAAACACAUGAUACUACAUCAAGAACCAAAAUUUCCAAGUACCUACUUCCAUGCAAUGGGUGAAGAAGGUUGAUCUAAUGCAAUAAAACCAUAGGUAAAUUUUGAUCAAAGUGAACUUGCCUGGUAAGGUUGUUGAAGAUAGAUAUCGCUCACAGGAAAAACUCGAUAGAACUAUUUGUCACUCGCCGAUGAAAUCUAUAUAAUCANCUUGGAGUAGACAAGCUUGCAUCUUGGAAUUACAAACAAUGUUGUUAAAGGGACUUUUCAUUUUCUUUGCUUGAAAAAUCCAUUUUCCAUUUUUCGAGUGCCCAAAGUGAGUUUUUUGUGAAUGACCUACCAAAUAUUUGUUGCAAAAUUAGACCAAAUUAUUUUUCUAAAAUUGUAAGUCUUAUUAAAUAUAUAAUUGACCAAAUGAUUUGGUGCCAAAAGCUUUUGAUCCACCUCUCGUGAAAAAGACAAAUUUCCUUUGAUUCAGCUGGAAGCAGGUCAAAUUUCAACUACAACUGUUUGAUAGAUUGCUCUUUAAUUUUCCCAAAAAUCAUUUCUAAGUACAUAAUUAUCUAUUUAAUCAAAGAAAUGCAAAAAAAUUGCAAGAGUCAAGCCCUAGCUACGAAUGGUCAUACCCGCCGUUUGGACCGCAUUUUGAAACAGGCAUGAAAAAUUCAAAAACAAAAAAAAAUUGAAAAACCUUCGCACUGUGUCAUUAUAUGUGACCAAGUUACCAGAAAAAAUAAUAAAGUUGUAAUAUGGCAAUUAUUAAAAAAAAGUGUUCUCAUAAAUGGGCUAUCAUGUGUUAAGAUUCAUGGCUUUCAAGCCAAUUGAUCAAUCUUAUGACCACAUUCAUGGCAUAGUUUUUUCAAAUGAUGUAAUAUUGUGCACAAGGAUGUGUAUUGGAAUGGCAAAUAUUGUUGCUUAAGGAAGUUUUCAUUUUCCUUGUAUGAAAAAUUCAUUUUCCAUUUUUCUAAUGCCCAAAAUGAGUUUUUUGCGAAGGACCUACCAUAUAUUUGUAGCAAAAUUGGACCAAAUCAUUUUCCUAACAUACUAGGACAUAUUUAAUGUACAAUUGAACAAAUGGUUGGGUGUUAGAGGAGUUUAUCGACCUCUCGUGAAAAAGACAAAUUUUCAUUGAAUUAGCUGAAAACGGUUAAAUUUGAACUGCAGCUACAUUAUAGUUUGCUCUUUAUUUUUCCUAAAAAUCAUUUCUACGUACACAAGUAUCUAUUUAAUCAUAAAAACACCAAAAUAUUUUCAAGAUUCAACCACUAUCUAGGAACGGUCAUGCCCGCUGUUUUGACCACGUUUUGAAAUGGCCAUGAAAAAUUCAAAUCAAAUUCAAAAAAAUGGAAAACCAUUGCAUUGUGUCAUUAUAUGUGACAAAGUUACCAGGGAAAAUAAUAAACUAGUAAUGCGACAAUUAUUUUAAAUAAGUGUUCUUAGAAAUGGGCUAUCAUGUGUGAAGAUUCAUGGCUUUCAAGCCAAAUGAUGAAUCUUAUGACCACAUUCAUGACAUAGUUUGUUGAAACGAUAUAAUAUUAUGCACAAGGGUGCAUAUUGGCAUGGCAAACAAUGUUGAUUAAGGAAGUUUUCAUUUUUCUUGUAUGAAAAAUUCAUUUUCCAUUUUUCAAGUGAUCAAAAUGAGUUUUUUUUGUGAAGGACCUACCAUAUAUUUGUUUCAAAAUUGGACCAAAUCAUUUUUAUAAAAUACUAGUCCAUAUUUAAUAUGCAAUUGACAAAAUGGUUGGGUGUUAAAAGUUUUUAUCCACCUCUCGUAAAAAAGACAAAUUUAUACCGAUUCAGUUGGAAGCGGGUUAAAUUUGAACUGCAGUUGUAUUAUAGUUUGCUCUUUAUUUUUCUCAAAAAUAAUUUAUAGGUAUAUAAGUAUCUAUUUAAUCAGAAAUACAUGGUGUGAUGCCUUGACGUCGAGGUUUGGAUGGUGGUCGAGGGCCCCAACUCCAGAGCGCGUGAACUUGCAUGCGAGCCGCAUGGUCACCGCCUGACCGUUGCGUUGCCACGCGUUCUAGGUGGAAUAGGAAUGUCUGGUGGGUUGGACAAUCCCUCAGUAGGUGUUAGCAAGAAGAAUACAAUAGAAGAAUCUCACGAGGAGACUGAACUAAGCUCAAACAUGAAUUAGCAGCCAAGUGUUUGAUUAGCGGUGCGGGUAAUUCACAUAGACAAUGGGACUAAAUUUUGGCUGAGGAUGAUCAUCUACUAAGGGGACUCUCUUGGCAAAUUUUUAGCUCAAAUGGAUGAAUCUAGGUGGCACUUGCUUUGCAACGUAACACACUGUGCAGAAAUAUGGAUGUUGAAGCUGGGAUCAAAUGAAUGAAUGGAUUGAGCUGAAAUUUGGUGUAUGAUGUUAAGUUGGGCAUAUGAAGGCACUGUAUAAAAAUUAUACCAUUUGGACAUGCCAAAGUGACACUUCCUUCAAAAUGUGCCAAUCUGGACAGAAAAUGGUAAUUGAAACUGGGCUCACAUAGAUGAUUGGAUUGAGCUGAAAUUUCGAGGAGGAGGAUAAUUUGGGCACAUUAAGGUAGUGUAAAAAUUUGGAUAAACAAAAAUUAUAGUUCUUUCACAAUGCUCUCUACUGAACAAAAUAUUGGAUAAAAUAUUGAGGGAAACUGGCUGAAUUAAAAUGAGCUAAACUUUGGUGGAGUGAGGUUAUAUGGUUAGUGUCAUCCUGUGGUAAAUUGUCAUCAACUAUAAAGCAAUAUCAAAUGUAGUUGCUUCCCAAAAUGAAAAUAUUACCAGAAACAAAGAUUGGGUGAUGAGCUGACAUGGAUUGUUAGAUGUGGCUACAAGUUUAUGGAGAGCUAUGUUUUGGGCACAUAGAUGAUGUGGAAAAAAUUCAACUCAUCAGGAUAUUCCUAUCUAGUACUUCCUUCACAAAGUUGUUAGCUGAACACAAACUUUGAAAAUUUGCUGAGAAAGAUUUACUAGGCAAAUAGUUAUGAAAUUUUUCAUGAGGCAAUGAUUUGGAUAGGAAAGAGUGCCCAAAAAAUAUAAGGGUAAUCAAAGAAAUAUAAAUAGCACUUCCUUCACAAAGUGCUAUUUUGAACAGAAUAGGAAAAUGAAUAUUGCUGAAUUAUUUUUGAACUAUGGAAGGAAGGGUUUUCACAUAUUUGAGAAAUAUAUGAUCCAAAUUAUUUAUGAGAAUUCUUCGAGAAUUUUUGGAAUGACAGAAUAGUAGGUUGCUUCACAAACUAGGAUGAGGUGGGAUAGAAUGGACCCACGAGUGACAUGUCAACAUAGUUAGAACGUGUUACGACAUUUUUACAAUCGUCGUAAAAGUUAUGACGAUCUCAUCUUAUGCGGUUACGACCAUUCUGGAGCUCCUCGUGACGUCCGGGAUCUCAUCUGGGACUCCGAAGAACUUUCAAUAACCUCUUAUAACAAUUCCCUAUAACCCUAGCAUCAUCGAACCUUAAGUGUGUAGACCCUACGGGUUCGGGAGACAGGUAGACAUGAUCGAGACACCUCUCUGGCCAAUAACCAUCAGCGGGUUCUGGAUACCCAUGGUGUCUCCCACUUGCUCCACGAUUAUCUCAUCGUAUGAACCACGAUGUCAAGGAUUCAAUCAAUCCCGUAUACAAUUCCCUUUGUCUGUCGGUAUAGAACUUGCCCGAGAUUCGAUCGUCGGUAUACCUAUACCUUGUUCAAUCUCGUUACCGGUAAGUCUCUUUACUCGUUCCGUAGCACGUCAUCGUGUGACUAACUCCUUAGUCACAUUGAGCUAAUGAUGAUGUUCUACUGAGUGGGCCCAGAAAUACCUCUGCGUCACCCGGAGUGACAAAUCCCGAUCUCGAUUCGUACCAACCCAACAGACACUUUCAGAGAUACCCGUAGUGCACCUUUAUAGUCACCCAGUUACGUUGUGACGUUUGAUACACCCAAAGCACUCCUACGGUAUCCGGGAGUUGCACAAUCUCACGAUCGAAGGAAAAUACACUUGACAUUAGAAAAGCUUUAGCAUACGAACAAUAUGAUCUAGUGCUAUGCUUAGGAUUGGGUCUUGUCCAUCACAUCAUUCUCCCAAUGAUGUGAUCCCGUUAUCAAUGACAUCUAAUGCCCAUGACCAGGAAACCAUGAUCAUCUAUUGACUUACGAGCUAGCCAACUAGGGGCUUGCUAGGGACACAUUGUGAUCUAUUUAUUCACACAUGUAUUACUGUUUCCUGUUAAUACAAUUAUAGAUGAACAAUAGACGACUAUCAUGAACAAGGAAAUAUGAUAAUAACCAUUUUAUUAUUGCCUCUAGGGCAUAUUUCCAACAAAGACGGUGGGUUGAGUUGAUCACAUAUUACGACUUAGGAAUAACUUACACCCCGGGGAAGGCCAAUGUUAUGGCUGAUGCACUAAGUUGUAAGUCUUAUUGUAACAACCUGAUGCUACAACGAGGUCAACCACAUCUCUAUGAGGAAUUUCGGAAGUUACAUCUUCACAUUGUUCCUCAAGGAUUCCUUUCUACCCUGGUGGCGAACCCUACUCUUAGGGAUCAAAUCAUAGCCGUGCAGGCAUAUGAUAAGGGUAUAUCCCGGAUCAAGGAGAAUAUUGCUAGCGGAAACGCUAGGGAUUUGUCUAUCAAUGAGCAAGGUGUUGUGUUCUUUCAGAACCUUCUUUUUUUUCCUAAGAGCAAACAUUUGCGGCAGUUGAUCCUUAAGGAGGCUCAUGAUUCUCCUCUCACCAUUCAUCCUGGUAGUACUAAGAUGUAUGAGGACCUACGCCAGAGGUUUUGGUGGACUAGGAUGAAGAGACAAAUUGUUGAGUUAGUUGUUAACUGUGACGUUUGUCGUUGAGUUAAGGCAGAACAUCAAAGGCCUGUUGGACCCUUCAACCUUUAGCUAUUCCUGAAUGGAAAUGGGAUAUAGUCAGUAUGGAUUUCAUCACCGGACUUCCCAAGACCAAGAAGGGAAAUAAUGCUAUCUUUGUGGUCACUGACCUUCUUUCCAAAGUAGCUCAUUUUCUUCCAGUUCGUGAGAGUAUAACAGCUAGCUAGCUAGUAGAGUUAUAUAUAUCUCUCGAAUAGUGUCUCUUCAUGGUGUUCCUCUGGAGAUUAACUCACACCGUGGAAGUAUCUUUACUUCUCGCUUCUGGGAGAGUUUUCAGAAUGCCAUGGGGACUCACUUAUCUUUUAGCACUGCUUUCCAUCCUCAAUCAAGUGGUCAAGUAGAAAGGGUGAAUCAAAUUAUAGAAGAUAUGCUCCGAGCUUGUGUUAUAUCAUUCGGUAUGAAUUGGGAGAAGUGCCUUCCAUUCGCCGAAUUUGCCUAUAACAAUAGUUAUCAAUCAAGCUUGGGCAAAGCUCCUUUUGAAGUUCUCUAUGGACGAAGGUGUCAAACACCUCUUAAUUGGUCAGAAACCGGAGAGAGGCAACUCUUUGGUCCGGAUAUGAUCCAGGAUAUAGAAGAGCAGGUUUGCAUUAUUCGUGAAAAGUUGAAAACAGCCCAGUCUCGUCAAAAGAGCCAAUAUGAUCGUCAUCAUAAGGCUGUGACCUUUGAAGUUGACGAGAAGGCUUACCUUCGGGUUACACCUUUGAAGGGAACCCAUCGUUUCGGUAUCAAGGGCAAGUUGGCUCCUCGUUAUAUCGGUCCUUUUCGCAUUCUUGCCAAAUGAGGAGAAGUUGCCUACCAAUUGGAACUUCCUCCGCAUCUUUCCAAGGUUCAUGAUGUAUUCCCCAUCUCGCAACUCAGGCGUUGCUUUUCGGAUCCUAUCCGCGAAGUGGACCACGAAACGCUUGAUCUCCUAGAUAAUCUUUCAUACCGAGAAUACCCUGUGCGUAUUCUUGGUCAAGCUGAGCGUACCACUCGACGUAGAAACCUCAAGUUUCUUAAAGUUCAAUGGUUGAAUCAUUCUGAAAAAGAAGCAACAUGGUAAAGAGAGGAUCGUCUCUGACUUGAGUAUCCCGCGCUAUUCCCGACGACUUCCAAAUCUCGGGACAAGAUUCUUUUGAGUGGGGGUGAGUUGUCACAUCCCUGAUCCCCAUUAGGGUUUAGCACGUUUGAGCUCAUGUUUUCUUCCAUUGCAUCUUAAGAUUUUGAAUUGCACUCAAGGAAAGAAAUGAAAUCAANACAAAUAAAAUUUAUCCAAUAAAUCAAAUCAAACGAGAAUCCAAAAGAAAGUUCAAAGAAAACUUUCGAGCCUUCUACUAUAACAAUCACUAAGUAGUUUCUGUUCUAAUGAAACUUAACAGCAAAUAAAACACUAAAAUAGUAAAAUAACAGAAAAGAAAAUAUAAAAUAACUAAGAUAACAUAAGUAAAAUUUACAAAACAAUAUUAUUUUGAAUCUAUUUUCAAAUAAGAAUUCAAACUAGCAAUGAAAUCAAUUCGCAAGUUAGUAUAGAACUGGAAUUGAUUCCAUGCAAACAAAUAAGAAAAAAUAAAAUAAAAUUUUGUUGUUGUCAAAAAGUUACUACUAAAUAUAAGAAAACAAAAUAUAACUUGUCACAGUUACAAAAGAAGAACAAAUUAAGAACAAUUAAUACAAAAGAAAUAGCAAGAAAACUAAAAAGGGCUAAAACAGAAUCUGUUUUUCUUAAAACUCUAAUUUAAAAUAUUUAAAAAUUCUGAAAUUAAAUCUAGUGAUAAAUAAGAUCACUAGUGGUUAGUAUAAAAAAUAAUCAACUCAAAAUCUAUUUUAAACUCCCGAUAAUCACAAAACAAGGUUUAAAUCAAAUCUAUUUAAAUUCAAAAUUAAAAAAUUAAAAAAUAAUUUUUGUUUGGUCCACGGGAUAGAUGGGAUUUUUAUGAACUGGUAGCAAAAAGAAUCACUGGAUUGGAGUUGUAGACUAAAAGAUAUGAAUUUUAUAAGUUUGCUCUUUUUCUGAAAAAAAACUGUUACGGGAUUUCUGAAGCUCACCGGAGAUAGUCCCAGACUUGGAGAAGACGAGAGAGAGGUGGUUCCGGUGGCCGGCCGUGGCAGCGAAGGGGUCCAUGCGGAGGAGGAGGGCUCCGACUAAAGGUUGGUCGUGCCGGCGGGGUGUGGGGGCGACGGGAGGAGGCAACACCAGAAGCCUUUCGAGCUUUGGCUCGGGCGGACUCCGGCAAGGAGGCGCGGAAGCUACGACGAGGGAUUCGGGCAGCUCUCGUGGAGAACAGAGCGAGGGGGAGGAGAGGAGUUCUUAUAGGGGCUCGGGAGGAGCUCAGAUGGAAGGGGCAGGGAGAUAACCUUGGAUCCGACGAGGUCUCUCGUGGCGUUGUGGUGCACGGUAGGAGGAAGGAGGAGAUCGUGAGGAAGAAGAAGAAGAUACGGGCCAGAUUCGGUACGGGCCCAUGGCAGUUUUCCUAUUAAAAAUGAAAUUUCCUUUUAUUUUAAAAUACGAAAGAAAGCAUGUGAAAGGAAAUAAAUAAUAGUCCGAAAAUAUAAGUAUUAUAUAUCAAAAUGAUGAGAAAACAAUUUCCCACAAUGUGGACAUUUUCCUUUUCCCAAAAUGAAAACAUUUAAAAAUAUAUUUUUUUAAAAUCCAAUAAAAACAGAACUGUGUCUUUCAAAAAAAUUGGCACUAUUUUUCUUGUGACUUUUUGCGCUGUCAUGCUACCUCCUCUCUUUCUUGCUUGGCCAGAUAAUUGUGAGGCAUUUUGUGAGUGAAAAAUCUUGUGCCAAAAAUAAAUGCAAAUCAAAUACCAAAAUAAAAUUCAAAUACCACCGUCAUUUAAAUUAUUUAUAGUUGAAGAAGUCAUGUUGUGUGCUCUCAAUGAUUUUAAAUGGAUGAAUUUGAAUUCAUAGGAAAAGGGGAAAGUCAUUUUAUUCCCUCUCAACCAAAAGUUUUUUUGAAGUUUCAAUUUUUCACUCAAAUUAAAUCACUCAAUCAAUCAAACCAUCAAUCAACUAUUUAUUAUAACAUUCAAAAUUUUGGGAUGUUACAUAAUUACUCUUGAAGUUUGUCACAUCCCUGAUCCCCAUUAGGGUUUAGCAAGUUUGAGCUCAUGUUUUCUUCCAUUGCAUCUUAAGAUUUUGAAUUGCACUCAAGGAAAGAAAUGAAAUCAAAGCAAAACCUCAACAAACUCCAUAUUCAAGAGAAAACCAAAGUAGUGUCAAAUCAAUGAACCCAAAAUGGCCUUCAUAAAAGUUCAAUAUUUUAGAUAAAUGUUGAAAACAAGAUAUCAAAGGUGAAACAUAUUUUCAAAAUACUUUUGGCAUUUUANUGUUUUCUUCCAUUGCAUCUUAAGAUUUUGAAUUGCACUCAAGGAAAGAAAUGAAAUCAAAGCAAAACCUCAACAAACUCCAUAUUCAAGAGAAAACCAAAGUAGUGCCAAAUCAAUGAACCCAAAUGGCCUUCAUAAAAGUUCAAUAUUUUAGAUAAAUGUUGAAAACAAGAUAUCAAAGGUGAAACAUAUUUUCAAAAUACUUUUGGCAUUUUAAAAUUAAGUUAAAAGCUACUGAAAUCAAUUAUAUAUUUGAUUUCAAAUAUUUCAAAGUUUCCAAAAAUGUUGAAAACUUAUAUGUGGUUGGAAAUAUUCCAACUAACACUCUAGUAUUUUUCAAACUAUUUUAGAAUUAAUUUGGAGCCAAAAAUAAAAUGAAACAAAUGUCAGAAAGAAUAAAAUAGAAACGGAAAAGAAAAGAAAUAAGAAAAUCUUACCUGUCGCUCACCUAAGGCCCAGCCCACCCCAGCGUUGUCGUCUUCCUUGUGCCAGUCGACACCAGGAGGUGGCCGCCGCUCCCUCCGGCGCGGCCACGCACCUGCGUUCCUGCCUGGCCNAGUCGGCACUAGGAGGUGGUCGCCGCUCCCUCUAGCGCGGCCACGCACCUACGUGCCUGCCUGGCCAGCGCAUCACGCUGGCGCGAAGGGGAAAAGCUCCCCGAAGACCUCCCCAUGCUCAUCCCCCCUCCAUUCGCCCCCUGCUCUCUCCCCCCCUCUCGGCCGCCAUGACCGCGAGCUCGAGCUCGAGCUAGCAAUCGCUCCAGCCUCUCUUCCUCUCUGCUGAUCCGCGCAACAGCUCCGCCGAAGCUCCCUAAAGCUCCUAAGCUAGUCGCUCGACGCCGAGAAGCUCUAAAACGCCGUGACACCGUCAUCUUCCUCCUCGGGUCACCGGAGCUCGCCGCCGUCGUUCUCCCUCCUCAGGCCAUCCCCAUGCCUGUUCUCGCCGCCUCUGCACUCCUAGUGAGCUCAGGAAUCUUUCCCCCAAGUUUCCCCCUCGAUUCCUUCCUCUUUCACCCGAUUCCACUGGAGCCCGACGAGAUCCGCCACGUGACCUCGUUUUCGGUAGCUCUCCGGUGAUUAGCUAGUCAUUCUGAGGCCACCAAUGGCUUCAGUGCGUUGCGUUGGUGUUGUAGGAGCCUAGCCCCGCGCUUGUUGAGCCCCGUAGCAGUGCCCCCGAUGAUGCCCGAGCAUCGACGGCCGCCGAGCUCGUCGUCGGCGUCAUCUCCGGCCAUUUCACCCCUUGCUGCGUGCAAAAAUGGAGCCGUGGGUGAAGUGUCGUUCGUCUGGUGCCCUCCGCGUGAAGUUUGGUCGCCAGAAUGGAAAUUCCGAGCUCCUCCGCCGUCUGUGUGGUCGCCGGAGGCUCAUUGCCGGUGAGAUCCACCUCGCCGCCGGUGGAUCUGACUCCCCUGAGUCACUGGCAAGUGGGGCCAGCCCCCAGGCUUAUUAGGAUUAGCAAAAUAAAAAAAGAAAGAUUAUUUUAAAACUGAAACAAACACUGAUAGGUGGGUCCUACUCUGUUAAUUAGCUAAUUAAGUUAAAUCUAAAUUAAAAAUGGCCUGAGUCACUGACCAGUGGGUCCCACUAGUCAGGUUUGACUUUCAACGGCCAGAUUGACCUGGUGAUGCAAUAACUCAUUUUCUGUUUAAAAAUAAUUCGAGAAUAAGUUCAAAACUUUGGAAAUUCAUAGAAAAUUGAAUAUACCUCCAAAUUUGACAAAUAAUAUAUGUAAAAUGAUCAGAAUAAUUCAAGGAAUCCAAUGGUGCUAUUUCCAUGCAUGAAAAACAAAGUUAUGAAACAACAUCAGGUCUAAUCAAUUAAAAGAAUUUGAUAAAUUAUAAUUCAAAUGAUAUUGAAUUAUGAUUUCAAAUCAAGAUCACCCCAAAGGGUUCUACUAGUCAUCUUAAACCAUGCUAUAUUGCAUUUCAUGCAUCAUUUUGUUGCAUAUGUUUGAUAUUGAUUGUUUCCUGUUAUUCCGGUAGGCUCCGCCCCUUCGGUUACGACUGUUUAUCCGACUGACGAAUAUCACCCCUCUGCUGAGCAACAAGGCAAGCAACCAUUUUGAUCAUCUCGAUAAAUCCCAUGUUCUCGCUCCUGCUCUUACUUAUUGCAUUAGGUUCAAGUGCUUCAAAUGCUUUUACCAUGUUAGUUGAACCCACUUCCUUUGCAUGACCUGUCCUUGUCACAGUAAAUAGCUGAACCUUGCAACCUAGCAUAUCUGGUAGAUGAUUGAGCCAUGAUGUGCCUUAUCCUGCUAUGCAUGCUAUGCUUAGAGUUGUGUAUGGUCUGUCAUCUGGGUGAUGAACAGGAUCGUGAGAAUGUGUUCAGUUGGUAAAGGUCGUGUGUUGAACUUGAUUUGGUAAAGGUACUGGUGAAAGGCUAUGUAGGAGUACAUGGCGGGUUGUUUCAUUGGACCGUCCUUAGGAACUGAGUUCCGUGUAUGUAAUCCAAGACUAGAUACUACCACACAUUGGGAUACUUAAUUGACCCUCUCGACUUAUUAAUCGCUUAUUACUCGGUCCAGGAGUUGCAAGUAGUUUCUGGUGUUUAUAGUCAUGCUAGAGGCCGUGCGUAGCGCUAACCUUAGAGGUGGGCUAUGAUGCGGUAGGCAGUGGCACGGUGUACCAAGUGGCACCCGGAUGGUGGGCUUGGGAACCCUGCGCACAUCGUUUGGGGCUGUGGUGGAAACCUCGGCCGGACUGCCGUGCGGGUUACCCUUAGAUAGGCGAUAAACCUGGACUAAGUAUUAGCGUGGUUAACUGUUGUGGCCGACUCCCUCGCUAGGCUUCCGCUUGAAGGUUGCCGAGGUGCAUGACGUGCACAUGGCGAUAAGUGGCGAGAGCGUGUGUGAAGUAGUACACCCCUGCAGGGUUAUGAUCUAUUCGAAUAGCUGCGUCCGCGGAUAUGGACUACUUGGAAGCAUAUGUUGUUCAUAGAUAACUAUAAUGGCUACUCAUAAAAUUGUCAAGAUAAGUGUGAGUGUUGUGGAUGGCAUUUCCAUAGGGAGACAGAAUGAUUCCACGAUGGAGUAUUGUUGUGGUGUUAGUGGACUCGUGUGCGAGAAACAUAGUUGUCAAAACUAUUUAAAAAUGAAGUCGUCUAUCCAAGAGUCAAAUGUUGGCUUUCUGCAUGAAACUCCACCACUCCUUGAUGAUACAUUGCAUGAGUAGAUAGAUUAUCCUAAAGUCUUGCUGAGUACUUUUGUACUCACAUUUGCAUAAUAAAUUGUUGCAGAGGUUGUUAAUGACCCUAAUGGAGGGUUCUACCUAGACGUUGACGACGACGAGUAGUUGUUGUCGCAGCUACGAUCUGGCCCUAGGUUGGGUCUGUAGAUAGUCACGCCAUGUGCCCUUAUCUUUCCAUCUGUUUGUACUCAGACAGUUUUAAUCUUUCGCUGGCUUGUAAGACUUGUGUGUAUGACUUGUGAUGAUUGGUCGAGAGACCCACUACAAGAAAUAAGCUCGUUUAUGACAAAAAAUAUUGACGGUGGUUGAAUUGGUCAUAGAUCUAUGACUAAAAUUUAUAAAAAAGUCAUGAGGUGUCUAAAAGGGUCCAAACCCUGAAAGUUUUUGACCAUCUCUAUGAAGAAGGUCAUAAUCGCAUUGCACAAAAUGGUCAUUGACAUGUGUAGCUCUGAUUUGGAUGAGGAGAGGGUUUUGGAGCGUUGGAUGUAGCAGGACUCGAUGGCCAGGAUCCGUUUUAGGGGAGGGAUCCGUGGCCUCGCAUGUGAUUGGCUGGCUCCCAAAGUGAAAAGAAAAAAGAAAAAAAAGAGAAAGACAGAAACCCCACUACCCCUCUGUUCUGCUCGCGAGCUCCAUCUCUCUCCCCCACGACUCCUUGCCCGCAGUACCACCUAUGGCAACCGAUCCCGGUGGCCUUCGAUGGUAACUGGCGGGUCCCAGCGUACCACUGUGACCCCUCCCUCUGCUCCUUCCCUCCUCAGGCCAGAUCUGGCACACGCAUCCUACAACAACAACGAGCCACCCUGCAACAGCUAGGGUUUCGACCUCCUUGUUGCCGGCAGUAGUAGAUUUAUAGGAGGAGGACCGUCGGUGGCACCUCCCCCUCCCCUCUCUGGCCGAAGAUGCACUCGCGCUACUCCUCUCCAAACACACCACCUCCGACGACGACCCCCAACCGCACCCCCACUUGGGACUGUCUCCUCCUACCCCAUCACCACCGGCGACCUCAGGUCCGACCCGCGGACUGGCGAGGCGACAACACCCGAAGGACCUAGCCCCUCACCCACCCACCCAUGGAGGGAUGGAUGGAUGGGGAUGGGGCAGACCGGCAUCCAGGUCGGCAACGCGUGUAGGGAACAUUACUGCCUUGAGCACAACAUACAGGUUCGUCCCCCGUGUCUCAUCCCAUCUCUAUCCUUGCUUAUUGGGAUUUUAAUAGCAAACAUACAUAAUAGCUGGAUCAAAUUUUUGAUGUCGAUAAGAAGUAUUGGUGUUUCGUUUCAAAUAGUUUGCAACUCAAAUGUGUUGAACAAAUAGUCCAUUAUUUGGGGAAUUGCUGUUGUCAGAAGUAGGAUUAUAAUGGAAAACCAAUGGGUCUGUCGGAAGUGUUAGCUUCCGAAAGAGCUUGUAUUGUAUUUCAGUUUCCUGAGAGGUUUGAACAUUUAAUUACUACUUUCAGCAGGGAGGUGCUCAACCUCUAAGCCUCAUGGCGGCGAUGAGAUCCACUCUCAGACCAGCGUAGAGGGAGAAAAUUCCAUGCAUCAGGGAUGAUCUCCAAUUCACGGCAGCGAGGGGUGAUGAGUAGCGAGGACCUACGAUUGGCCCUACAAGCAAAACUCGGCAAGGGCAAUCAAGGCGUACUUCCACAUGGCUUCCGCUGGUACAUAUUUCUUCCUUUCCCUGGAAGUAGUUGUUGUAUGCACGACAGACUUUCUGCUCGAGGCAUUAAUGCGCAGCCCACUGCAGCCCAACUGCAAGGUUACAUGGAGGAGAUGGCGAGGUGGUGUUGUGGUCCAGCAGCCAGGCAGCCGGUAGCACGGCGAUCCGGCGAUACGCAACCCAGGCAACGAGCACAACUGGCCGCACACACGCUAUGCACAAGUAAUUUUUUUACCAAUCAUAAUUGUUCUCCACGACUUGGCAUCAUAUUAUAUUCACAAUAGUAUUUUCUAUAGACCAUAGAAAUACAAAACUCAUAGUUAUCCCGACUGAAUGCAAUCUGGUAACAUGAAUUAUCAAGUCAAUUGUUGUUUGCAAGUUUACACAUUGUAACUUAGUUACUACAUACCUGGCUAUGGGCAAGGCUGGUUAGCAAAUAAUUUAUUUGGUUUAGCAAGCGAAUAAUUAUGAUGAUUUUAAAAAUACCUCAGUACAGUAGUAACUAUAAUGUCUAUCAAAAUAUAAUUAAGAAAAAUGUGCUCUUCUUUACGUUGGCCCGGCCAACCAUUUCUAUGUAGCUCCGCUAAUGGUGAUAGCAUUGGUUGGCUUACAAGUUACAUGGUGUUGUUCUCCUGUUUAUGAUAUACAAGUUCAUUGUUCUUUAUUCUUUUAUUACGAGUGUUUUUCAGACUAAUAAGCUCCCUUUAAAUAAACAGGUUGUGCAGCAUCUCCUCAAUGGUCCCCUGCUCCCCCAACGGAUUCGUCGUCUCGCUGUGAAAUCUCGCUCCCUGAUUUGUUGUCUUGCUAUUGGACUGUGCCUGCGCGGAUGCUUCUUCUGCCCGUUGUUGUUUUGCUGUUGCUGAUGUCGUGCUCUUUUAUUUGGAUGUUGGAGUGCAGGCAGAUGGCUAACAAUGGAUUGUGAGGGGCUCUAUCGCCGAGUAUCGGGAACCUCAGUUACCUGUAGCCAAUGUAAGGCCUUGGAAACGAACUCACCUAUCCAGUCACAGUUUUUGUUUCCUUAGUUCCUUUGACACGGUGUGUCAAAGUUUGAAGCUUCCGAGCUGAAUCGCUUCAAAAUGAGGAUGUUCGUACUUGUGUAUCUAGCUGUUGGAAAAUAUGAAGCACAAGUGUUGUUUAGGUUCAAACAAUAUUACUGUUUAGGAUAUUCCGUCGGUGACUCAUUAGCAUGAGGAUAGUUAGCGAGCUGAAGGUGGGGAACUAUACAAUACAAGUCUUGCCUUAUAGUUAAAUUUAUGUCCGUGUGUGCAAACCUAGUGCAUAUUAUUGCAAUCCAUACUUUACUUGACCCUAUCUAUGAACCAUAUAUAAUUUGACUACCACGCACUGUAUCUGUACCUGAUACAUUAAACUCAAUGUAUUAUAUAUCCAGUAAAGAAAUUAUCUCAGACAUUUGUACCAUCUAUAGAGCUCAAAGUACAAGAUGAACUAUAAUAGACUAGUCGUCAACCCGUGCGUGCGCAUGGGCUAGCUUUUUCACAUAGUUUAACAGAAAUCAUUGAUAGCAGCUUAAAAUAUGGAAAAUAUAAAAUAUUACAUCAUGAUAAGCAAGUGAAAAUAUGGAUAGUAUUGGGUUCAUAUAUCCAAAAUGUAAAAAUAUAUGUAAAUGUUUAGAAACAUAUUCCUUUAUGGCUACAAAUAUGGAUAGUAUUGGGUUCUCCAUAUAGAAAACAAUGCAUGAUGAUAAAGAGUAUAAAGUAAUACACGUGCAAUGCCUUGUUGUUGUGUAUAGCUUCAGCAAAACAACGAUUCUUAUCUGAUUCAUUCAGGCAGGAGCAAAGACAUCCAUAAAAAUUGUUGUCAAUAAAUAUUAUGAGGCGAAUCCCAUAUGCAAGAAACAUAUGUUUAGAGUUUACUUAUUUUAUACAAUGGCUUAUAAUAAAUAUUAUGAGGUGAAUCCCGUAUGCACAAAGAACGACACCUAAAAACAUAAAGGGCAUGCAAUCCUGGGACAUGAAGCACAUCCAUCUAGCUAUAGUUGUAAGACUCAGCAAGUCGGUAUAAGGCUAAGCAAAUCUGGAAUAGAAACUACAUUUUGGUCAAGCCACACAUCUUCCUGCAACCAUACAACCUUAUAUACCCAUCUUCUCAAAAGCCAUAUAGUCAAACUUCUCAUUUUCUCUACUCCCGAGUUCUGAUGACUUAAUGCUAAAUUUGUCAAGCCAGUGUUUGGUCCGUUUGUGUAAUCCAGUGUAAUUCCAUCAGGUAACUGAUUGUUAAGGCAUCAGAAUAUGUGUAGCUCGGAGCCUCCAACAGCUACCCGGGAGCAAUAAGAAGUAAUCAAACUACUUAUUCUUAAUUUGCAACAUCCAUAGCAGAUUUAUUCAACGACUAAGGUGUAUCGAGACAUAACAAUAGUAUAUAUGAAAGAAGUAUCCAGCUUUCUAGGAUUAGGCGGCUGGGUGUUCUUUUUAAUCUCAGUGUGUGUGUUUCUAGGAUUAGGAACAAACAGGAGGUGUGCAACUUUUAGGGGUCAAAGCAUGUAUUUUAAUCUAAUGUUUUGCGAUUGCUAGCACAUUUAAACCACUUUAUCUCGUCUCAUUCGUGUGACAAGAAGCUUAUCAUAUUCUACAAAUACACAAGUUGGUCAUGUAUGAUCAGUUGUGUCCCGCCUUAACGUCGAUAGCUGAAUUCCUUGAUCUCUCAUGUGAUGAUAGUUACUACUGCUGUGAAUUUAUCCAGUUUUUACAACUUAAUAUUUUUUCAAUAAAUAGAUAAAUCAAUACCAUGCUGCAAAUAAAUGGAAAGAGAUGCUUAUGGUUGUUGCUUGUUAUUCCUUAUUCUGUACGCCUGUCUUAGUUACCCUCAUUUUUUCAGAACACAAGACUCGCACAUGGCUUCGUUUUUAUGAGAAUAUUCUUACAGAGUAUAGCGAUAUUUUUUGCAUCAGUUUGUGAAUCGAAACGUAUUGAAAACAUUUAACCACAUCAGAUGACAUUUAUUUAUUUGGUAAUAGGCAUGUAAACCACAACCUCCUGGUCUGUAUAUUCUUCUCAUUUGUGAUCCUUGUUAAUGUCAGGAUGUUCCUUAAUCUAUAAUUGGCUACUCAGAAGAAGUGGAAAAGUGGAAGACGACGAUGCUAUGUUUUCUCAAUUUGUUGUUACAUGUGAACAAUUUAAUUUUGUAUUCUUUAAUGUGUUCCAUUGAAACCACAAUGGUUGUAUUGUUCGGACAGUACCAACACUUGUUGGAUUUGUAAUGGAGUUGAAGGCCGAACUAUUUUAUGUGAUGCUUGUUUAUAAAGUAUCUGUCAUGAUGCCUAUUGCUGAAAUGAAUGAAACUUUUUAUCAUAAUGUUUUUUCAUUGGAAUUAUCUAUGAUGCUUUGUGUAUCAUAACUGUGCAAAAAUAAGGCCUCAUCCUAGAUAAAAAUAAUAGUAAUGGGCUGAAAUAUCAAAUAUUGCUUUAUGAACGCAACACAAAAUUUGUUGGGCCUGGCAAAUUUAAGUGCCUGAUUUGGACACGGCUAGUAAAAUUGUGACCUUAUUUUUCAGUCACUAGUGAUCCGCCAUGUCAUCGCCUUCCCCACGUGGUUGAUGCCAUGUCAGCUUCUGUGUGGUCCACGUACACAUGUAAUGACCAAAAAAUUUCGUCAAAGAUUUUAUGACAUAUUUAUUUUGGUCAAAGAAUACUUGACCAAAACACUAAAAAGGUCAUGUCUGUUCGUUCUUGACGGCCAACUGUUGACCCUCUGAAUUUGGUCAAAAAAAGGUCAAAAUUUGAUACCAAUGACGAUUCUUUGACCAAAAUGGGGGGUCACCUAUCUGUGUAAUAUUAUGUGUGAGGCUCUUCCGAGCCUUCUAAAUAAAGUUUGCAUGUUUAUGGUUAUGUUGUGAUGCCAUCCAUGUAUCUAUACAUAUCGGUAUGCCAUGCGUACGUGUGUUGUACAUGAUAUGUAUGGGGUUCGAAUACCUAGUCGUAUGCCUUAGUAGCAAUCCUUACGGGGAAAUGCCCCUUUGUGAUUCCAUCGAGCCAUGGUAGUUCGCUACUGCUCCGGACACAUUGGUUGACCGGCAUGUGUCCUUCUUAGCUGCAGUGUCGGUCCCUUUGGAAAAUGUCACGCGUAUGUAAUGGAGUCCUUGUAGCUUGCUACGACUCGUCUACAUUUGCUGAUGACCGACAACUGCUUUGCUGGGUCAUGUAUGCCUGUCCCUGUACGGAACUGCCACUUGAGUUUAUGACUAGACAUGUUGAUCCGGGUUCUUUGACAUUGGACUGCUAGCGACACAAUUGCAUACGCGAGUCAAAAGGCGCAAACGGUCCCGGCUAAGGUAAGGCUGCAGCCGUGGGGAUAACCGUGCGUGAGACCGCAAAGAGAUGCGAUAUGUUACAGGGUGGAUUCCUAUGGCUUAGGAUCGGGGUGCCGACAAAGUUUGUGGUUGAUGUUCCUAAGAUGCCCCGAUGGGUUGAGCCUAUGCUUUCCCUAAUCCAUGUGAUCCCUAGAGUUUUCACGAGUCUUACUCUUCUAGUGUUUUGCAAGAUAUUCUUUCAAAGCUACAACUUCAUCAAAGCCGAGGAGUAAAUGGGAGGUGAUGCAUCGAUGAAGUGGGAGUCGACCUUGAGCUUUGUGUUCGUGCACAUGGACCCGAUGUAUGUCUUAUCAUGGAAGCUUCUUAUAACCAAAGAAUUCCCUUGGUGUAAUUUGAUGUGGUAUCUAUGAUUAUGUCCUUUGCAAUCGUGGUUCCAACCAAGUUUUUCUACUUUGAUUUCGUUCUCACACAAGUUAAAGUCCUUGUGUUCCAAAGAUAAAUACAAUAUUUUAACCUCUAUUAUGAUCUACCUCCGAGUGUUAUCCUUGGUAUCUCGAUAAUAUCAUGAAGUUAUAUAACUUCUUAUGAACUCCUCAUCAACUAUGAUAUUUCAUUGGUUCCAAUUUCCUAGUGCUCUGAGUUGUUGGACACUCAAGGACACCGAUAACUGAAUCGAGUAUGCAUUGCGAUUCAACAACUCUUAGUAAUAUUCUUUGGUUAUGAGUUUGUACUCGAUCAUGUCAUUCCAAGUUGUUAGACUACAUCAUAAUCGUCAUGCUUGAGCUUGACCAUGAUAUCUGUGUCCUUCACCCCCGGAACACAAUUCCAACAUUGCACUAAGCUUACGUCGUGCUUUCAAUGUCAUGUUGGUUAUUUUGAAAGGCAAUUUCAGUUGUGAUCUAGCACUAUAAUCUGUGAUUCCGACAACCUUUCGCUUCACCACUCCUUUGCUUGAUGUCAUUGUUGGAUGAUUGCAUCUUCAAGAAACUCCUCGACAAAUGUGUCGUGAUCAUCAUCAGCAUUCUGACCUUUUCCAGGACAUCAAUCAAAUUCAUGAUGAGAAAUACCAUCCUUGCCCCUCGAUGAUAUGUGUUAUCAUUGACAACUUUAUUGCCUUCCCUCCAACACAAAACAUAUUCAUAUUUUGUGUUGUCCCUUGCGUUCCUUGCUAACCAACUUAUGUUAUGUUCUACCUUGGAGUAUUGCCAUCUUUUAUGUCAAGAGUGUUGUGAUAAUUGAUGCACCUCUUAAGAAUUCUUGAUAUAGUGAUACUUCUCGCCAUCACCAUUCAUUUCUUGGUCCCCGUGUUAUCUCUAACCGGAAUACCAACAAGUGAACUCUGAUGUGUGAUUCAAAUACUUCUCGCAAACCUAUUGCUUUGAAGUUAAUGAAUGAUAGUUUCAUUCUUAGUGUGUUGGUUGUUGACUCACCAUUUUAGCACUCGUCGUGCUACACAGUUCGUAUUUCCGAGUGCACCCUCCGAUCAAUGUUUAAUUGUUGAUGUUUCCUCGAGCAUACGUCAUUAUAACAUUUGAUCUAACAAAUGAUAUCUCCUUGGUCUUAUAAUCUUGGGAAUUUAUCCCUAUCAAAAUCUUGAGGGAUUGUUACAAAGGCCAUCGGCCACACCCUCAAUUUCUCCAUGUUCCAUGAGUAAGCGCUUGAAAGCAUUAUCUUUGAGCCUAGCUCAUGAAGAAUAUGUUUGAAGGAAGAAGUGCUUUCCCAAAGUUCACGUGCAUUCUUAUCUCUGUGAACAUGAGAAAGUUUUGUUUCGCUUCCUAUGGGAUCAUUCCAAAUCAUACACGCACGUGCAAAGUGUUACACAUUUUGAAGAUUUUUUAUCUUCACUUCAUAAAGUUUUCUUAGCACACCAAGACACUGAAUGAUUUCAUCAAGGAAAAGAAGUUCCUUGAUAAGAGCUAAUCCAGGCUUACACAAGGACCUAUCCUCGAUGAUGGUUCCCAAAUCAGAACUCAGUUGCAUUUCAUGGUAAGAAUUCCAUGUGGGCACGAAUGUCUUGGCAUUGUGUUCAUGUGUCUUACAAUCCAACUCAUGAUUCAAGACUUGCUUCCAUAGUUCAUAUCCCGAGAAUCUUGCAUCAUCAUGUCGUCAAUUUUUGUUGCCCCCUUUUCUUCUCACGCAUCGUGAGCCUGAGGUAUCUGAAACCAAUCAGAUAUGAAUCUCGGGUUGAUAUGAUGGCUGGAACAUUUUUCCAAUAAUUAUAACUUCGUCUUUAUGUAACCCGAUAUGGUGCUGUCUUGUCUAGCACACCUAUCGGGAGGACAUAUUGUUAUAUCAUCUUCCUUAGUAAGGUUUGCCACUCUCCCGUGAGGAAAUUGUAUGACUUACUCUAUAAGUUGUUCCUGACGGAUCCUUUGUGUACCCAAAGUCCGACCUUUACCUCAUGCCCAUGUCGAUGCUACCCCGAAGCACAAAUGUGGUACUUGAAAUGUCAAUGGGAACAUUGGAAGCGCAAUGCUAAAUUGUUCUUGAUGAAUUAUCCAAACAGUGUUGUAUGGGUAAAUAUCAUGAUUCUCCUUGCCCCUUUAUCUAAAUGGUUAUGUACUUGGUGAUCUAUCAGGUAUACCAUGCUCUAUUUUCCUUGGGAAAGGUAUACUCUAAUACUUGUGUGUUUGAUAUGAAAAUCACAUUUUCCUUUUCAUUAUUCUACUUAUUUCUUGUAAUCUAACUUAUCUAAGAAGUGGUAGUUCCCUGCUUCAGUAAAAAAACCUGUGUGUACAACCCUAUAAAUAAGACCAUGUUACUAUUUUGGAUAGCAUUCCAGUAGCCGCUGGUGGACGACAACUUUGCCUAAUUGUCUGCAUAGUUUCAACGAGUAGGAAAAUGGUUCUAUUCAUCCCCCGCCCUUGGUACCGACGUUGUUGCCAACAUAACUGACAGACUAUCCUCUGACGUGUCUUGCUACCAUGACCAUGAAUGAUUUCACCGCUCUUCCUUCUCUUACCCACAUGGUGGGCCCAUAACCCACAGUUCCACAAGAUCAAAACAUGACUCUCGUUUACACCUUUGAUUCCAAUGUAUCAUUUGCACUUGGCUUCGUAUGUAAUUCCCGAGCCACCGUCCAAAGGGUGAUCUAUUCUAUUGUGAGGUGCAAUAUUUAUUUCUGUUGCCAUGAACCCAUUUCACCUUCUCAUUAGGCAUCGAAUGAUUGCCUACCCAUUUGAAACUUGUGUACCAUUGUUUUUUGUCCUCAAUGGAUUCACUGAGUUACAACGCGAGGAAUAAUUCAUGUCUUCUCCCCUGAGUUCACCGUCAGAUGCCCAACUUUGUGUAGGUAAGUCCUUGCAAAAGUUUUCCCUGUUAUCACAUUCGUAGGAUGAUGAAGAUCCCGAGGAAAGGAUGACAAUUUCAUAAGGAUGACCUGAAGUAGAGAAUUGAAGGCAUCAAUGUAAGGUGUUAACUUCUUGGGGAAGAGAAACCAAGAUCGGGACAUCUCGUUAGAUUUUCAUAACCAAAUUCUUCCUGUUACUUCUACCUCUAAAUACUCGGGACAAUAAUUUGUUUUAGUGGUGGAGAGUUGUGACACCCCGGUAGGUAAGCUACAGUGAUCCCAUGAUAAUGAUGCCAUGUCAUCAUGCUUUGCUAAGCCAAAAUGCCCCUUGGUAAAACUCAAAGACAAAUUAAAAUUCAAAUUUAAAAUAAAGUAAAACAAAUAGUUUAUUUAAACAACAAAACUAAAAUCUUGGUUGGGUUGCAAAUAUUCACCUAAUAAUUAUCAAAUAGUCCCUUCAUCCCAAAAUUCUUAUCUUUGGUUUAUCUUGGAAUGGAUGUAUCUAAAUACUAAUACAUGACUAAAUACAUUCAUAUCUAAACAAAUCAAAGAGAAGAAUUUUGGGACGGAGGGAGUAGAAAAUAACAUUUUACAAGGCAUUUAGAUUCCCAAAAACAAUUAACACAAAGGCCAAAUCAUUUAUUUAAAGGCCUUUUUCCUUAUGAAAUUCCAAACUUUUUGAAAUGGCUACCAAACUUUGAUGACAGUGCUAUAUAUUGCAAGUUGAUUUAUGGGUCGAGUUCCAUAUUUUACAAAACCUAUUUGCUAAUUAAAAUAAAAGAAAAACAGAGAUUGAUUUAAAGAAACACAAAAUAAAAUAAAAUGAAAAGAUCCUAUUUUACUAUGCACUAUGGCCCAUCUAGCCAAAUGGCCGGCCCAACCCACCACUUCUCCUACCCCAUUCGCUACAAGAGGCACGGGAGGAUGUGGCGUUCAUCCACCAGUGCCAUUGUGGGUGAUGCGCACGUGCCAGCCACCCCCGGCCUCUAGUGAGCAUAAGGACCCCCCCCCCCCCCCCCCCGCUCAAACCCUAGGCCACUCCCUCGCACUCUCACACCCUCUCUCUCCCGAGCUCACUACACGCAAUCUUCGUCACAUCGACACCGUCGUCGUGGCCAUCAACCUCCCGUCGCCUCUCCUCCGUGCGUCUAACCUCCUCACCGAGCCAUGCCUCGUUGGGAGCCCCGCAUCGCAGUCAGGAGGUCGUCUCCAACCGCGGGAUCCGUCGGCCACCGUCGUCCAAUUCGUCACGAGAGAGCGCCCCCGAGCCCACUGACCUGCUCUGCGAAACCACUAUGAGCCUACCUCCCCGUUCCCCCAUUCCCCUUGCUCCCGUCAUCGUUGUAGCGUUGCCCCCGUGCUUGACUACCGUGAAUGCAGCUCUGCUCCCUGCACACACGCACUCCCGCUCCCACCCCAUCUUGCAUCGCCCCAGGUCGUGCUCGACCAAGCUCUCUAGCGCCUUGCGAGCGCUCAUGCGCCCACGUGCGCGCGAACCACGUGAUCCCCCACUGCUGUUGUUGCGCUUCCGCUGCGCCCGCGUGCACCGCCACCCCACACUGNAGGCGAAUCCGAGCGCCUUGCCGCCGCGUGUGGAGCUUGCACCAUCCGUUCAAGUCAACGCGAGUCCCUCACUCAUGGGCCUAGGGCGAUUAGCCCCACUAAGAGCAUCACUAGUAGUGCCCUCAAAUCCUCAGACCAGUUUAAGGGUUGAAAAUUGCCAUUUUGCCAGUUUUAAGGGUUGAAAAACAAGGGCAAAUACUAGAACCCUCAAACCCAACCCUUAUAACGGAAUAUUCCGUUAUAAGGGUUGGGUUUCAGGGUUCUAGUCUUUGCCGCAACCCCAACCCUUAAAACUGUCAUUUACAAUAUCACAAUUUUCAUCAUCUCAAUAACGGUUUGAAGAAAACAAUAAUCAUUCUAGUUUUUAUUACAACACCAAAUAGUACUUUCAAACACAUAAUAAUCAUUCAAGUUAUUACAACAAUUUUUUCAAGCAUAUUACAAUAAUUGUUCGAAUCAAAUAGGACAUAGAAAAUUAAACAAAGGUAGAUCAUGGGCCUUGGCGCCGCCCAGCCAACUGCCACUGGUGCUAUACUAGAUCAUCCCGGAGCUGAGCAUGAGUGUUUGCAUCCUCAAUCUGACGAUCUGCUUGAAGAAAAUCUUGUUUGCAUCCUCCUCUGAUCCAUCAGAUUUUCGUGAUCUUCAAACUCUUGCACGUAGAGCAGGAGGCCCAUCAUCUCGAUGUCAUCGUCUUGAAGCAACUCCUCAAUGUCCGAAUCCUCCGAUGACGACCAACCAAAAUCAUCGGACAACGCCUCCAUCUACACAACACAAAACAAAAAAUUGUGAGUGGCAACAAUGAAUCAAAAAGGAAAAAAUUAAACAAANNNNNNNNNNNNNNNNNNNNNNNNNNNNNNNNNNNNNNNNNNNNNNNNNNNNNNNNNNNNNNNNNNNNNNNNNNNNNNNNNNNNNNNNNNNNNNNNNNNNNNNNNNNNNNNNNNNNNNNNNNNNNNNNNNNNNNNNNNNNNNNNNNNNNNNNNNNNNNNNNNNNNNNNNNNNNNNNNNNNNNNNNNNNNNNNNNNNNNNNNNNNNNNNNNNNNNNNNNNNNNNNNNNNNNNNNNNNNNNNNNNNNNNNNNNNNNNNNNNNNNNNNNNNNNNNNNNNNNNNNNNNNNNNNNNNNNNNNNNNNNNNNNNNNNNNNNNNNNNNNNNNNNNNNNNNNNNNNNNNNNNNNNNNNNNNNNNNNNNNNNNNNNNNNNNNNNNNNNNNNNNNNNNNNNNNNNNNNNNNNNNNNNNNNNNNNNNNNNNNNNNNNNNNNNNNNNNNNNNNNNNNNNNNNNNNNNNNNNNNNNNNNNNNNNNNNNNNNNNNNNNNNNNNNNNNNNNNNNNNNNNNNNNNNNNAGGUUUUUCUCCCCAAUCCUCACUUGUACAGGUUGGGAGAGGGUUUGAAGGUCGGAUCCUCAAAUUGUUUUGAGGGUUUGAGGGUUAAGGGGUUCUGGUCUACGUGUUUUUUUGCUCGCAAACUGUAAAAAAACAGUUAUAUUUAAGGAUUUGAGGGUUUGACGAUACUACUAGGGAUGCUCUAACACCCUCCGCCUUGUGCAACUAACCACUAGGCCACUAGCGCUAAUUAGUUCAAUUAAUAAAAUUAACUAUUUAUCUAACCUAAAAAAUCACUCGCUAUUGGACCCCACCUACUUAAUUAGAGUAAUAAACCUGUUAAAAUAUGGGUCAAUGACAUAUGGACCCCCACAUGUUAGUUGGAUCAGUCAUCGAGUCAAAUGUUCACUCUUGACUACUGACUCGCACUCAGCAGGCCCCACUUAUUAGCCUUUGCUAACUAGGAUGUUGACCCAAUCAACACGACCCACCAGUCACCCUGUGGUGCACGUGCGGGUGCACUGCGCCGGGUGCACCUAUAUUAUUAUCAAUUUGUUUUUCGAAUUCAUAAUUAUACCAGAAAAUCAUUUAAACUUUCAAAAAUCAUAUAAAUUAAUCUAUAACUUGGAUGAAAAUAAUUUAUAUAUGAAAGUUGCUUAGAAAAAUUCCAUGAAUCCGAAUAUGUUGCCCAUUCAUGUGUCACAUGCUCCUAUCAUGGUGAACAUGGACAUUUUGAUGUUAGGAUCAUUUUUCCGGUAGUAGUGAGAGACCCGACAAAUAUAGUCACAUGUUUUCCCUUUCCGUCCAUGACGUUUAGUACUGUGUUAGUUCAUCCCUAGCAGUGCAUAUUGCCAUGUCGUGCAUUGUGUUGUAUUUGCUUGCUUGUAUUUAUUGUUUCCUCCCCAUCUUCUCUUCGGGAAACGCCAAAGAUGACACUGCUGCUGGGUACGACUACCCCAUGACGGCCAGCCUUUUGGAGCAGAGCAACAAGGCAAAAAAACCCCUUGAUUAUCCCUAUACCGCUCAUUCUUUCUCCCUCAUGUUUGAAUUAGAUUUUUCUACUAUUGUAGAUAGCUCGUAUUCUGAUGCAUAGCCUGUUUUUCUUAAACUGCUAUUGUACCUUACUGCAUAUUAAAUGCUUAGCAUAGGUGGAUGAGUGAUUCACACUGACUCCACUAGCCCUAGUUGGCCUUGCUUCAUCAUCAAAGAUUCGAUCAACUGAUUAACAAUCCAUGAACCGUCGAGGUUGAUUCCCCUCAAGCGUGGACCAUCGAGGGUGAUUCCUCCCUGGUCACCUUGACGGUUACAUUGAUUGAAAUCCGUCGAGGGUGAUACCUUGGAUUCCUGUGAUGUUAGAAACACACGAUUACUUUCACUUUACUACUAUAAUUUUAUGAAAUAUGUGGUGCGGGUGGAUUCCCGUGUGUUUGUGACGAGGCGUGAUCGGGCAUUCUUCGCCCUUGCUACACAUCCUCGAGAUGGGGCGAUGGGACCAAAUAUCGUGGAUCGUUGAUCAUCGCCAUGUUAAUAAAGCAUUAAUGGGAUUGGGUAUUUGAUCUGAGUUGGUCAAUUGACCUUUUUUGCACUAACCUUCAUGCAGGGACAGUUAUGGGCAGUCAACAUUGUGGUAUCAGCCUAAGCUCCUCGGACGUCAGCAAUGGAGUGGCACGCGCCCGAUUGGUCCGCAUAAGCAUUGAUCUUGUAUAAGAGGUGCUAGGACUGACCUCGACCGCCCCCGCAAUGUUGUAACACCCUGGUUUCGCCCCCUGUUUUUUUUUCCUUUGCAGGAUUUGACUCCCGUCUUUUUUCUCGGUGUUAUCAAAAUUCUCCAGCUCUUGGGUAUAUGACGAUGGUCAUUCAUUCUUGCCUUCCUAUCCAACCAGAGAUUCUCCCCAGUCCAACCUUGCCACCCAAGAUAUAUCUCCGGACUUGCCACGGAAACCAUACCUUCCGAGUUGCCGGAAGGGAAACCCUAAUCCUUCUAGUUACAAAGGAACCCCAAUCUCCUUUACCCCGUUGACUCCCAAACUUUUCCCAGUGAUCAUCCUUCAUCUUUAAACCCUGGAUAUGCAAAAAUAUUGCCAAUUCAUUUGCAAUAUUUUUCAUUAUAAUUAAUUCCUUUUUCUACAAGAUAAAGGAAUUAAAUCCAGGAAAAUAUCUACCCAUCUCCAAAGUUCAUGAAAACUUGUGGAGAUAUUCUUUGUAAUCAUAUUGAUAUCCCAUAAAAUAUUGGCCAUUAUUAAAUGGGGAAAUUUUCCUUUUUCCUAUUUAAAGCCAAUAUUGCAUUUUGGGCAGUUUCUAAAGAAACUACCAUUUUGGUAGCUAGGAAAAUUCCUAAAUAAAUUGUGGAGCUUCUCAUAUCCAUAUCUUCCCCAUUUCCACUAAGAACCCAAGUUCCAUAGUUCAAAGUUUGAGCACAACAUCCAUUUGCAGAUUAUGUCCAAUUGGGCAAGCUGCAAAGGAAGUGCUCUAUUCCUUUGUCUAUUUGAUCUGAAACUUUUCAUGGUGGUUAAUAUUGAUAAAUCACUCUUGGAUACCAAAAACCAGUUCAAUACAUCUAUCCAUUUCUCCCCAGCAAUUUACCCAAGUUUCUGCCCAUUUGGAACCUCUGUGACGGAAAUACCACUUUGGCAUCUCCAAAUGAUCUGAAACUUUUCCAGUAUAUUCCUAUGUUCAAAUAAUCACUCUCCACCAAAUGUGAGCCAAUUGCUCCUAGAAAAUUCAUCUCUAUUUCUCGACAUGUUGCUAUAUUUCAAAGGAAGUGCUAUUUGCACUUGUUGGAUUGCAAUGAAACUACAUAUUUAGACUCACCUUAUCAUCUUAUAACCUCAUGCCAAAACUCACCUUAUGUAUCCUAGCCAAUUUGCCACAAACUGCCACAAACACCUUAUGUUCAGAUUAGAUGUCAGCUCAAAUCAGUCAUUCGUUGCCUUCAGUUCCAUCCAAACUCCCAUGGGUCAUCUCUACGACCAGUGAGCAACAUGUUUGACAAGGCUCUAGAGCCAUCUAGUGUCUUGGACACGUGGUCCCAGUGGUGGCCACGACUUUGGUCGGCAGCCAGCGCGAACAGUGGCAACAGUCGCCGUCCGGUCCCCUUUGGUUGUCCUCAGCUCACCGCCCAGCUUCCCUCGAUCACCCACGUCGCAUGCUCCUCUGCUCCGCCUCGUCCCCUAGCUCCGUGGUCGGGUGUGCCGAUGGGAGGUGCUCCGCCCGAGCGCAGCCACGUCAUCAGCGUCCCAAAGCUCCGACCAAUGUCGAGAGGCCCUCCUACGGCUAUUUAAGCUCGUCCUGAGCCCUCCAUCACAACCACCAACUUCUGCUCUCGCCUCCUCACCCUCCCUGAGCUCCAUGAGCUCCUCUUCUCCCCAAUGGUCGUAAGCCCGCCACCGAUCCCCUCGGGUAGCCGCUGCUCCUGGCCUUCCUUCCCUCUUUUGGCUCCCUAGAUCCCCUCUAGAUAUUGCGCCAUUGCCUCUGACCUCCUCUCCAGCGGAGGAACCUCGCCGGCGCGGCCCUCCUUUGUGCAUCAUCCGGCUGCCGUGGCCUCCCCGUGGAGCCAUCGCUGUGGGCGGUCCCAGCUGGCCCCACAACCACCCCCGAGUGCGGCGAGGAGUGCCCUCCCGCGUCGCCGGACGUCUUCUGCACCGACGUCUAGGACCCUCCCCUGCUCUAUGUCGUGAGGAGGAAGGAGACAGGGAGGAGGAGAGAGAAGGUGGGGUGAGGGCCACCUGUAAGCGACCAGACGAGGGGGUAAAGUGGCUGAUGACCGGGCCUGUGGUAUUUUAAGUGGAAGCGUAUAUUGUCAAAGUAUGUUUUCAGAAAUUGGAAGGAGUAUUCGGUUACACUAUGACCGAAGUACGCUUUCCUUUUAAGAAAACGUAAAUUUCCCAGUGUGCCUUCAGUUUAAGCCGACAGGGGCUUGUGUGUCAAUAGUUUUUUAUAGAUUGGUCCCUAUAUUUCAAACGGCUAUAUCUUUUUGACCGAGACUCCGAUUCAGGUGAAACCAACGCCCACGUCUUCAAAUCGACGAGCCGGUUCCGAUGGUAUCAUUUUCAUAAUGUUUUCACACUAUGAAAAUGACCACGUUCCCCUUGCCCUUCUAUUAGCCCUCUUCGAGAGAGAACAGUUUCCGGCGAUUCCUUCCGCGGACUCUCUGCACUUCUUCCGAAGUAUUCCUUAACCCCCAGGCAAGCCGAUCAUCUGAUAUAUACCCUCAAGCUUUGCUCUGUGUUGUUCUUGCAUAUUUAAAUUAAAAUGCUCAUGUCUGUGUGUAUAGUAGUGUGUUGUAUGAGAUGUUGAUGAACCGUUGCUCGCACUUUCUUCAAUGACGACACCACGCCUGAGCCUGAGCUGCUUUUGGCCGUCUGGGGUGGAUGCCGACUUUAUAUUUCUCUUGUGAGCAGUUGGCGCGUGUUUGGAGCUGCUUUUCGACCGUCGCGGGCAGAUGUUGAAUUUCUUUCCGUGGCAGUGACCCUAUGCUUUGAGCUGUUUCUCGGCCGUCUUAGGGAACCGCUACAUUCUUCUUAUCAACAUCGCCUCAUGCUUUGAGCUACUUUCCAGCCGUCUUGAGCCGGGGUUGAGUUAUUCCGGUAAUGUCCCAGAUCUGUGUUGUAAAGACCGUCCUGGUGGCUAUCAAUUUAUUUGUCGGUUUUAUGCAAGGGUUCUGAGGGUCGUAACUUACAGCUAGAAAUUGUAAAGUAAUAAUUUGCCAUUUAUAUCCUGUCUUAUUAAUGACUUAUGGUGAUACGGAGAUAGGUUGUUGUACCGUUGCUAUCUCAUACAUAGUUAUCAUCAUGUUAAGUUAUUGUUGAUGAACAACCAUGUUUGAUAAAUAUGUUGUUAAAACAAUACCUAGUGGGUUGAUCCAGAGUCACCUAUCCGGGAUUAUCAGUGCAACCACAUUUGCCGGAUGGGAUGACCUCAACUUGGUCUGAUCGCGUGCUCUUUCACCGGUACCUCCAAAGAGGGAGGGUUAUGCACGCACGCUACCCUGAUCAGCUAGGCGGUGAUAACCCUGUGAGCCAGUUGAGUUGUUUUGUGCACAUGUCCCUGUUUGGGACAAUUUAGUUUGGCCACGAUGGUGGCAGGUGUCAUGAGGACACAGGGCCACCCAGGACAGGACUCCGGGGGAGGAUGAAUGUCGGUGGUACAAUGGAAGAGUCACAAGUCAGACAAGUUUCGUUGGAGCAACACUGGUUGACCCGAAUGGGAUCACGAGGUCAGUGCUCCAUGGUGUGGGUACGGUAUUGGACAGCCCGUCCAGACCUCAGUAGGUGGUCAACCGUAAUAAUGAUAAUAAUGAUGGAAGAACUCGUCUUGCGCAAACAUCACAAGAUGUCACGUAUAUGACAUGUUAGCCAUGGGAUGGCUAUGAGAUGAGUGGUCGGAUGACCACAUGAGUUGGAUUGGAUUUGGAUCACAUUCAGAUUGGAUCAUGAGAAUAUUCAGAGUAUAAUUUAUUUACUUAAUAUGCUUUACCUUACCGUAUUUACUUUAGUAGUUAUCUUGCUACAUAAUCCUCUUAUUUCAUGAUAUUAAAUCCUGCUAGAUAGGUAAGCUAUGCCAUGAUAAGUAAUAUUGCCCUAAUAAUAAAUGCAUGCUUGAAUGCCAUGGAUUGCUUUCCUUAGUGUAUAUGUUAGUUUGAUUUGCUUGUGAGUACAUUCAAAAGUACUCAGCAGCUUUUAACAUGGCCAGCUUCACAUAAGGAUUCGUCGUCCGUCAUCAAAGAACCGGAGUGUUCGCGGGCUAGAGGAGUAACCUAGUUAGAUCCUUGCGGAUUGGAUCCGCACCAAGACCAUGCUGCCUUAGAUAGAGAUUUCCGCUGCCAUCACCCUUGUAGCUCAUCAUGUAAGACUCUUAUAUCCAUUUAAAGAAAUGUCUGUGUUCAUGAUACUUGUUGUAAACACGCAUGCCAGAGUGAUUUCCUGGGCUGGUAUGCAUGGCGACUGUCUGGCUACAGUGGUAAUCAGGCAGGGCGCCACAAACGUGCAGGAGUGCAAAGGGCGAUGGGCCCAUGACCCUUGCGCUCUUAGGAUGUACACCGUCAAGCUGUCCUCUGUGUUGAGCUUAGGUAGGGAGACGACGUGUUGAUCUCCCUGAGGUCAGGCAUGACCUAGGAAUGUGUGUCCAGCUAGAGUUGAUCGAGCGUGUUGGGAAAUGUGGUGCACCCGUGCAAGGAUGAAUUGAGCUAUUCUAAUAGUCGUGUCCACGGUAACAUGAUGUCUUGGAGUUGUAUCUCGAUCUAAUACAACUAGAACUGUGACUUAACUUGAAUGUUGGCUCUGAUAUUGAUUUCUCGCACAGAGUCGAGAAAGGAUCUCUGGGCGUACUUAAUAAAUUUGCUGCAACAAUAUGACUACAUAUGUUUUACUCAUCUAUACUCUUCUAAUGCUGCAAGACACUGAAGAUGCUAGUCUUUGAUAGGACUAGGCCUUCUCUUUAUUCUCACAUUACUUCAAUCAGUCCAAAGAUAUAGCCCUUUCCUUUGAUACUGAUGCAUACUUAGCAUAGUUUUGAUGUCAGUCUUGCGAGUACUUUGGAUUAGUACUCAUCGUUGCUUUGCUCCCUAUUUUCCUCUAGAUACGAUUUCUGUUACGAGAAGACAGAGCCCAGGAGAGGGUUGACCCCGUCGAUGACUACUAUCUCGACGGAGCCUACUACUACGUGGAGGCUGAUGACGACAAGGAGUAGUUAGGAGUCUCCCAUGCAGAAGGACUUGCCUUUUUGAUCCUUUGCUUAUGUUUGUGCUAGCCUUCUUAAGUAAAAACUUGUUUACUUAUGUCUGUAGUCAGAUAUUUGUUGCUUCCACUAACUAAUGUGUAUACGAGCUUAUGUAUUCGAUCCCUCGAGGCCCGUGGCUUGUAAUAUGAAGCUUAUAUGACUUUAAAUUGUGUGUAGAGUUAUGUUGUGAUAUCUUCCUGUGAGUACAUCCAUAGUUAGUACUUAGUACCUAGAUGGCUAUCUCUCUCUCUCUAUGUUCUUCAUUGCCAUGAUCAUCGCGAUUCUCGUGGUGAUUUAUCUUAUGUAAUCACUUUGUACGGUACGUUUGUUUGGAUCCGAUGAUUAUGGGUUUCUGUUCAGAUUAUUCAUGAAUAAUAUGCGAGUCUUCUAUGAAUUCUAAUAAGCAUGAUUAUGAUAGCUUUGUAAUUCUCUCUGAUCUAUUGAUUUGGUUUGGCCAACUAGAAAGAUCUAUCUUGCGUGAGAGAGGUUCGUUGUAGUGGGUUCAAUCUUGCGGUGCCCAAUCCCAAUGACAGAAAGGGACAUGACACGUAUUAUAUUGCUUCCACUAAGGGUAAAAUGAUGGGGUCGAGUCACAUUAAUUGGAUUUAAUCAUUCUACAUCAUGUCAUUUUCUCUAAGCAUUACUCUAUUUCACUUAAUACUCUAGAUGCAUGCUGGCUUGCGGUCG
rnacentral:lncRNA from 1 species